CCUCUCCCCUCUCUCUCUCUCUCUCUCUCUCUCUCUCUCUCUCUCUCUCUCUCUCUCUCUCUCUCUCUCUCUCUCUCUCCUCCAUCUGUGUCUUCCCCAUGGUAUGUUGCUGUGCAGCUCGAUUCCAAAUGGUUCAGACUGGGAUAGAAAGGAGAGGUGCAUUUUACAGUAAUUUGCCAACACUUGACUGCUCUCUCUCUCUGUCUCUCUCUCUCUCUCGGUCUCGUGUUUACUCUUGAGGACCUUGGUACCCCUGACCAGUCUGGCGUGCAGCACCAUUCUGCCUCCGGUGGUGUGGCCUUGAGUCUCUGUGUGCUGCACCACUCAGGUGGUGUGGCCUUGAGUCUCUGUGUGCUGUAACACAGAUCAGACUUCACUCUCUGCCGGUAGCAGCUCUUGUGACCGACUCUCCCUCCCUCCCUCGUGUAGUUUAGCGUUGGGUCCUCGCACCUGACUGGCUGACCAAUCGGUGGCUUGCGGUAGCUCAAUUCCUGACCCUAGCCUGCCACGCCAUGCCACGCCACGCCACACUCCAGUGGCGUCUGUGUGAGGCUUGGAGGGGUGGGGGUGCUGUAAGACUGGCACAAGCAGUGGGGCAGCCCGCGCUCGCUGCACACUCCAGAACUGGCCCCAUCUCUGGCGUCGACCCGCUCCAGAGUCGGCCGCCGUCGCGAGGAGUUGACCUUCAGAGACGCCUGUGGGGACCAGCGGCAGCCACACUGACAUGAGGCCAGGCGUCUGCUGAGCCUUGAACGCUGCACUUUAGGGGGCCUUCAGGAGCAGCCCUGAAUAUGCGCUUUCCUACAGUCCUACACAAUCCAACUGAACCAGUGACCAUUAGAUAAAAAUGAAAGAAAAGUGAAAAAUUGAUCUCCAUACUUGUGGAGAAAUGAUAUUACCAAACAACAUUCUUAGAACCGCAGUCCUUGAAAUUGUGUUUUGAACCACUAGUUCAAGUUUGAGGAGCAAAAAAAAUAAAAAAAACUGUGUGCGGUCUUAUAAAAAAAAUCUGGAGUUUACUACUGUUUGCUGGGGAGAGUAAAGUCUUAAGGUUUUACAGUUAAAUUACUCUGAAGGAAAGGUAGCGUCUGAAUCUCUGAGAGCCUCACUCACCUGGGCUGAUGUGUAGGUCCCAAUGGAAAUCCACAUAAUAUCUUCUCUCUCUCUCUCUCUCUCUCUCUCUCUCUCUCUCUCUCUCUCUCUCUCUCUCUCUCUCUCUCUCUCUCUCUCUCUCUCUCUCUCUCUCUC